GAUGAACGCUGACAGCAUGCUUAACACAUGCAAGUCGUUCGCAAAGCUGCGCUUGCUCAGUCUAGCCAAGGCGGACGGGUGUUUAACGCGUAAGGAACUUGCCCUGCAGACAGGGGUGAUAGACGCAAGCGACUGAUAACACCUGCUAUUGUCAGCCCGGCGCAUGCCGGCCUGAUUAAAGGAGACGCUGCAGGAGAGCCUUGCGUCCUAUUAGCUAGUUGGUGGGGUGACGGCACACCAAGGCGAUGAUUGGUAGCCGGCCUGAGAGGGUGAACGGCCACAAGGGGACUGAGAUACGGCACUCACGCCUACGGGAGGCAGCAGUGGGGAAUAUUGGACAAUGGGGGCAACACUGAUCCAGAAAUUCGGUGUGGACGAAGAAGGUUUGCGGAUUGGAAAGUGAUCUCAGCAGGGAAGAAGAAAGUGACGGUACCUGGAGAAGAAGCGACGGCUAAAUACGUG
rnacentral:rRNA from 1 species